rnacentral:rRNA from 1 species
GAUGAACGCUGGCGGCGUGCUUAACACAUGCAAGUCGAACGAGAAAUGUAGACGGACACCUUCGGGCGGAAGCCUUCAUUUCGAGUGGCGGACGGGUGAGUAACGCGUGGGUAACCUGCCUCAUACAGGGGGAUAACAGUUGGAAACGACUGUUAAUACCGCAUAAGACCACAGCAUCGCAUGAUGCGGGGGUAAAAACUCCGGUGGUAUGAGAUGGACCCGCGUUCGAUUAGCCAGUUGGCGGGGUAACGGCCCACCAAAGCGACGAUCGAUAGCCGAUCUGAGAGGAUGACCAGCCACAUUGGGACUGAGACACGGCCCAAACUCCUACGGGAGGCAGCAGUGGGGAAUAUUGCACAAUGGGGGAAACCCUGAUGCAGCGACGCCGCGUGAGUGAAGAAGUACUUCGGUAUGUAAAGCUCUAUCAGCAGGGAAGAAAAUGACGGUACCUGAGUAAGAAGCCCCGGCUAACUACGUG